rnacentral:rRNA from 1 species
AUUGAACGCUGGCGGCAGGCCUAACACAUGCAAGUCGAGCGGAUGACGGGAGCUUGCUCCUUGAUUCAGCGGCGGACGGGUGAGUAAUGCCUAGGAAUCUGCCUGGUAGUGGGGGACAACGUUUCGAAAGGAACGCUAAUACCGCAUACGUCCUACGGGAGAAAGCAGGGGACCUUCGGGCCUUGCGCUAUCAGAUGAGCCUAGGUCGGAUUAGCUAGUUGGUGGGGUAAUGGCUCCCCAAGGCGACGAUCCGUAACUGGUCUGAGAGGAUGAUCAGUCACACUGGAACUGAGACACGGUCCAGACUCCUACGGGAGGCAGCAGUGGGGAAUAUUGGACAAUGGGCGAAAGCCUGAUCCAGCCAUGCCGCGUGUGUGAAGAAGGUCUUCGGAUUGUAAAGCACUUUAAGUUGGGAGGAAGGGCAGUAAGCUAAUACCUUGCUGUUUUGACGUUACCGACAGAAUAAGCACCGGCUAACUCUGUGCCAGCAGCCGCCGCCGUAA